rnacentral:rRNA from 1 species
GUCUACGGCCAUGCCACCCUGAACAAGCCCAAUAUCUGAUCUCGGAAGCUAAGCAAGGUCAGGCUGGUUAGUACUUGGAUGGGAGACCACCUAGGAAGACCAGGUGCUGUAGGCA